rnacentral:rRNA from 2 species
AGAGUUUGAUCAUGGCUCAGAUUGAACGCUGGCGGCAGGCCUAACACAUGCAAGUCGAGCGGUAGCACAGAGAGCUUGCUCUCGGGUGACGAGCGGCGGACGGGUGAGUAAUGUCUGGGAAACUGCCUGAUGGAGGGGGAUAACUACUGGAAACGGUAGCUAAUACCGCAUAAUGUCGCAAGACCAAAGUGGGGGACCUUCGGGCCUCAUGCCAUCAGAUGUGCCCAGAUGGGAUUAGCUGGUAGGUGGGGUAACGGCUCACCUAGGCGACGAUCCCUAGCUGGUCUGAGAGGAUGACCAGCCACACUGGAACUGAGACACGGUCCAGACUCCUACGGGAGGCAGCAGUGGGGAAUAUUGCACAAUGGGCGCAAGCCUGAUGCAGCCAUGCCGCGUGUGUGAAGAAGGCCUUCGGGUUGUAAAGCACUUUCAGCGGGGAGGAAGGCGUUAAGGUUAAUAACCUUGGCGAUUGACGUUACCCGCAGAAGAAGCACCGGCUAACUCCGUGCCAGCAGCCGCGGUAAUACGGAGGGUGCAAGCGUUAAUCGGAAUUACUGGGCGUAAAGCGCACGCAGGCGGUCUGUCAAGUCGGAUGUGAAAUCCCCGGGCUCAACCUGGGAACUGCAUUCGAAACUGGCAGGCUAGAGUCUUGUAGAGGGGGGUAGAAUUCCAGGUGUAGCGGUGAAAUGCGUAGAGAUCUGGAGGAAUACCGGUGGCGAAGGCGGCCCCCUGGACAAAGACUGACGCUCAGGUGCGAAAGCGUGGGGAGCAAACAGGAUUAGAUACCCUGGUAGUCCACGCCGUAAACGAUGUCGAUUUGGAGGUUGUGCCCUUGAGGCGUGGCUUCCGGAGCUAACGCGUUAAAUCGACCGCCUGGGGAGUACGGCCGCAAGGUUAAAACUCAAAUGAAUUGACGGGGGCCCGCACAAGCGGUGGAGCAUGUGGUUUAAUUCGAUGCAACGCGAAGAACCUUACCUGGUCUUGACAUCCACAGAACUUUCCAGAGAUGGAUUGGUGCCUUCGGGAACUGUGAGACAGGUGCUGCAUGGCUGUCGUCAGCUCGUGUUGUGAAAUGUUGGGUUAAGUCCCGCAACGAGCGCAACCCUUAUCCUUUGUUGCCAGCGGUCCGGCCGGGAACUCAAAGGAGACUGCCAGUGAUAAACUGGAGGAAGGUGGGGAUGACGUCAAGUCAUCAUGGCCCUUACGACCAGGGCUACACACGUGCUACAAUGGCAUAUACAAAGAGAAGCGACCUCGCGAGAGCAAGCGGACCUCAUAAAGUAUGUCGUAGUCCGGAUUGGAGUCUGCAACUCGACUCCAUGAAGUCGGAAUCGCUAGUAAUCGUAGAUCAGAAUGCUACGGUGAAUACGUUCCCGGGCCUUGUACACACCGCCCGUCACACCAUGGGAGUGGGUUGCAAAAGAAGUAGGUAGCUUAACCUUCGGGAGGGCGCUUACCACUUUGUGAUUCAUGACUGGGGUGAAGUCGUAACAAGGUAACCGUAGGGGAACCUGCGGUUGGAUCACCU